rnacentral:tRNA from 1 species
GGUGGGGUCGCAUAGUGGCCUAGUGCGAUUGCUUGGAGAGCAGUUGUAUCCGCAAGGAUACCGCGAGUUCGAAUCUCGCCCCCACCG